AAUAUUAUAUUAUUUUAUUAUAUUAUUAGGCCUUUAUAAAAUAGUCAGAGUCAGUUUGAUAAUGUGUUUAAAGUUUUCUUCAUUUUCCUUUUUUUAUAAUUGUUUUAAUGAAUUAGCAAGUGCAGUGCAAUAGCAUGGAUGACCUGUAAUAAGCCUGCAACUGUGUGCUGUUAUCACCAUGAGUUCAGUUUACUUGAGGCUGCAAAUAUAUUCAAUAUUGAAUUGAAUUGAAUUUGCCUUCAGUUCUAUUUCUGUGGUGCCAAUUUUCACUAAAAGAUUUCUGAAGACUUUACACAACUAUUACAAAAUACAUGAGAUAUAGACGGCGCCUGGAUGUUUAAAGCCCUUGACAAGCAUAGAAACUAGCUGUUUAUCUACCUACAAGAAUUUUUCAUUUUUUCAGUUAGCAUGAAAACCUAAAUACUGUAGGAGUAUACCAGAGCACCCAAAGGACACCCACUCAAAUGCAGGAAAGAACAUGACACCGCCAUGGGCCCUAACUAAAAGGAUUGGCUUCAAAUACAGCAUCCCCUUUUAACCACAUAUAUUGGCUCCCAUGUCUGUCUUAUUUUUACUCAUUAAAAAAUCUUUCCGGACACUAUUGAGGACACACAUUUUUUGCCUUCCUCCACAACGUCCAGCCAACAUUCCCCUCUAGUUCAUAUAUUAUAAUGCAUCUGCUUGAAAAACACCUGAGUCAGAAAAACAUUUUCUCACACGAUUCUUUCCCCUGGAGUAGUGUUAAGAUUUCCUCAUCUUCUUUUUCCAAUACCCACCCACCACACCUCGAACACCAUUGUAUUCGUUGCCCCUCAGAGCAAAGGCCUCUAUGAAUGCCAGCUUGUAUAUCCCAGACCAUAAACAACUUGACCGGGCAGCUUGACUGGCAUGUUUACUGGUCUGUUGACUGGGCAGUGCUAAUAAGGCCUACAUAAUUAACCCCACAUCAUAGAACAAGCACAGACAAGUCGUAACCUUUGUUAGUCGACUUUGUACUGUCCUUACAAGGGGUUGUGUUAGGGUUUUGAAUUCAAAGCAAAAAUGUUCAUUCAGUCAUUUUGUAGUAGAUUUUACUAUGGAGGCCAAAUUACAGUAUUGUAGAUGGUAGAAAACAAAAAAAGGCUUGAUAAUUAAUUUGCCUUGUUUAUGCAGUACUUUGUACUGUGCCAUGUACAGCCAAUUAUACUGUAGAUUAUACUGUAGUCUCAGUGAAUUGCAUGCUUUUAAAUUUCUUCAUCACAAUUUUAAAGUGUGAUGUAUUUCAGGAUAUUGUAAUAUGUGGGUGUGUAAAUGAUGCGAGCCCUCUGAAUUAACUGUGUAUUUCAUUUGAUCAUACUUUUUACUUUUACUUUUGAGUCAAAUACAGAGGGCGUCACAAAUAAAAAUCCAUGAAGACAUUGAAUGUAUACAGUACAAACUGGAGUUACUGAUUGGAUUCUGUUAAAAUAUAUGUAAAAAUAAAUAGAAAAAUAAAAAGAAAAUUGUAUUUAUUUAAUAAAAUAAAAAUAAGGCUGUAAUAUGACAGAAUCUGGUAUCUAAUGUAUCUUAAACACACUGUGCAAAUGUUUUCAUUAACAGCGAUAUGCAGGUAGUAUCAGCUUUUCCUUCAGAUAAUGUGAUUAAUCCCCUGCUCCACACUACUUAGUGGGAGAGCUGUUGCCAGCUCUUACACUAUUGUUAUCUUCGGUCUUUAAUAUUAGUGGGAGAGCUGGCAACAGUAAAUUCUUCCAGCAUUCACUGUUUAGCUUUUCUCGUCUGUCAUCUUUCUUCAUUUUUUUUUAUUUCAUUUGUUUUGCAGCACGUAACUAGUCCCGCAUGCUUUAAGUUACAGAAACCAUUGGAAUAUCAAAAUAUUCAGCUUUUUGAGGAGACGACUGCUAUUAUUUUUUUCAUUCAUAUCUUUCAUAUUUUUCAAGUUAUUAAGCUUUUUACAACUUUUUCCCCAUUGAAAUGAAUAGAAAACAAUUUUCAACUAGAUAAAGCCUUUCCACAAGAACACGAGUAUGACUACGAACAAGUGAAAAAAAUAUGUUAAAGUUAAAGAGAAAAGUUGUGUCUUAAAAAACUUGCUCUCACACUCUAGCUGCGACAUCACGCACUCUAGCUCACGCAAUACACACUAAAAGCUAAGAAUUCCUCAAAAGCCACCCUAUGCUUAAACUGCUAUGAAUCAGAAAGUAUUAAAGAUAUUAAAAGGCUGAAAAAUAGAUUAAUAGUUGAAUAGUUGAAGAUUGUUUUGUAGUUUAAAUGGUGUCAGUAUCUUAAAGAGUGAUGCGGUUUCUCUUCUUUUUUUUGUUUUUCCUAUACGCAUAUGCAAAAAUAAAUCCACAAAUACCACGUUUUGAAGUCUUCUUUUCAUUGAGUCGUCAGAAGCUCUCAUGGUAAUUUUUCCCACAGCAGGAAAUGUUCAUAAAGAGACAGUCUCUUGUUAUGUUUAGAAGUACCAUUCUGAUGUUUCUUAAAGGUGUAAACCUAAAGCAAAUGUCAAUGUUUUAGUACAAAAUCAUGUGUCAAUCAUUGUAUCUAUAAGUAAGAUGACAAAGCUAAAGAGCCAUCUACACUUCUAAUAAUAUUAAGAUAUUUAAAAUAUUUUUAUUGAACAAACCACAGUUUUUUAGAAGGUGCAAACAUGAAGAGUCUAAUGAAAGUCAUUCACCAAUCAUUGCAAAGGUUACUCCUUCUCACACCAGUUUCUGUAAGGUUGUAUUACCCAUAAUGCAUUGCGAUUUUAAUUUGCAUAUAAUGCUGAAAUAUUGAGUUUGCUCCUUCAAGAAAAGCUUAAAGGUCCAUGCACAUGCAAAAUUCACUUUUUGGACAUUCUGGUAAGUUUAUUUGACGCCCUAGGUCACAUUAAGACACUCCGGGUGUGUUAGAAGUAUGCCCCCUACUUAUUUCACAUUUUUGAGAGUUUAUCCAAUCCGGUUCAAAAACCAUCGUUUCAAAUUUGGCGGCCUCGAGACGUCUGCAUUUGCGCUGACCAAUCACAGAACCAGCUUAGCCCCCCCCCAGACAAACCUGGACCCCUAAAUGUACCUGAAACAUUUUGUUUCAGUCCCUCCAGUCACAGACAAAAGAAGAAGUCACUCACUGCGCAGUCUACCAUAGGAGAUGGCGCUAAUGCACCUUUCAGUUGGUUGCCACCCGCCUUUUAAAAGAAGAAGAAGAAGUCACUCAGGUUGAAGAAGCGCCCACUUGCUGCUUCCCCAAACGUAAGUACAUGCUUGAUACUUAUUUGAUGUAUGUACUCCAGAAGUUUCUUUGUUUAUAAUGUAGCUUCCCUCCUGUGUAAGGAAUGCUAAUUGUUAGAACCGUUGCGUUGCCACGCAAUUUGGAUGAGUCCAAGCCUCUCCAGCAUUUGUCCGGUUCGAAUCGUGUGAUAUAUGGUACUGAGGUCAUUCACUCAGCUCACAUUAUAGCUGCUAGCGUGAUAGUAGCGCAGCUUUAGCGGCUAGCGUUAGCGACUAGCGCUAGUAAAUUGUCAGCUGUGUUUCUAAUUACUACCGAGCCUGUCGUGUGUAUGUUGUAGCCCGAGUAGACCCGUGUAUUUGGGUUAUGGCAGGUUCUAUCUAAGUCUAACAUGUGUGUUGUUGCUUAUCUAGUCAGCUACCUUAGCUGUAAACGUGACAUUUUUUUAUACAGGCUAAAUCAUGCCAGCUACCGAAACGCGAAGAGGUUGCUUCUCAAACUGACACGCGGCUACCUUGUAGAAGAGUAAUAGAGUGCUCACCUCAGGAGCAAAGAGUGGUGUCAAGGAAAACAGCUGCAUCCUCCAUCUGUACAGUGGCUGCACUGCUUCCGAUGUCUUCCAACGCGUGAAGACAAAAAAGAGCCUAACAUCUCCCCAGCCAACUGCUCAUGACUGUACCUGUUCCACUCCAGAAACUAUGCUUUCAACAUAACUAUGAAUCCUACCCGUUCAUUUUGUGGUCUGCAAAUUGAACUGUGACGGUAACUUAUCCAGCAUUAUAGUGCUGGUGCAUUGGUUAAAAAUAAAGUUGGCUUUGACUAUU